ACAUCAAUACAUGGUCCCCGCCCCUCCGAUGUGACAGUAAAAGCCAUAUUGAUUUCCACCCAGAUUAAGGAUACUACUGGGAGCAAUUUAAACAUAGGAGUGAAGUGUCUCUGCCCAAUCGGAGGGGGACAUCUGUGGAGUGAGAAGACCUGAUUCCCACCAAGCUUGGGGCCCCAUGGGUCUGAGGCUGAGGACACCCUGACAGAAAGCAGAGGCCGCCUAUCUCCCAGGAGGAACCGGCGGCCAGAACACGGACCUCUCCUUCCUGAAGGAAACUCUUCGAACCAGCGUGCCGACAGCUUGAGGAGGGGCUGCAGAGAGAGACGAGAGGAAGGACUUGAGGAAGGUGGAAGGAAGGAGAUUGGGAGAAGGUUGAAUAGGGGGAGUAGGACAAUAGGAAAUGACAAUGUGCGUGGAGCAAUAAGCCCCCAGCAAGGACCCCCACACCCUGGGGGAGGACUGGGGGCUACAAGACUUCAGUCUCAGUGCUCAGUCCUACCGCUGUCCCAGAUGACCCUGCCCAGCCAUUGUGUGUAGAUAAUAUUUGUAUAACUGUAUAGUGUCCUGCAUAUAGGCUACAGUUUGAAAAAGGUAGUUGACUUAUAUAUAAUAAUAUUCAAAAUUUACUGAAUUACACUUAGCAAGUUGCAAAUUUACCAAGUUUAUGUAUGUACAGUAUGUGUCUGGUUUUAAAGAAAUAUGUGUUUAAAUACAAUAUGUGCACAAUAUGUGAUGUUUUUAGUGCCCCAUGUAUUAAUUAUUCUGUGGUUAAAAAAUUUUAGUUCUUGGAAGAACAUCUCUUCAAAUGAAAAGUUCCUUAUAAAAAAUCAAACUGAAUCAAAUUUAAUUAAAUGAGUCAAACGUAUAAAAAUGAAAUCACUUGCUUUUAAUGCUACGAGAUAAGACAUAAAAGUCCACACCAAGUCUUAAUUAUUUUAUAUAAUGAGAAGAUGUUCAACCCCUAUCUGAAAUGCAUAAUAGACCAAUGCACUUUUGUCCCAUGUUGUCAGAUACCACCUCUUUGUCACCACUCAUGUCUCAUCCAGACAAAAAAGGUGACCUUCAGCAUCUGUGCAUGAUGCAUAAAGCCUUGCUCCCACAAAGUCUUUCUAACAUAUGCAUGACAAAAAAACAGCAGUUUUAGUUACAUUGAGGUUUAAGAAAAGAUCGGUGAGCUUUGGUUUUACACAGAAUGUAAUCUCCAGUCUCCUGGGUGAAAGCUGUGUGCUUGUGACCCACCACUCAGCGCCUAUCUCCUCCUCUUGGGACUUUCUCACAUUGUAAAUUAAAUGUACAAAUUGUACAUCUUACAUAAUGUUUGCUAUUUAGUUAGGAUUAGCCACCAAAAGUAAGCAGUACUGGUACUGAUGACAGCUACUGGUGAAGGCUAACCCUCCAUCCUACUCAGCAUCUGUUUGGCUAACCUGUUAUCCUUAUUCUAACCCCACCUCUCGCCCGUAGUCAGUUGGGAUAGGCUCCAGCCCCCUGUGACCCUGACGGAUAAGUGGGUAUAGAAAAUGGAUGGAUGGAUGUUGCUUUUGGAAAAACAUCCAUCCAUCCAUAAAUAAAUAAAUUAAUAAAUUCCUUUGCUCAUGAUAAUCAUUGAGCUUCUGUCAUACUGAGUCCUUUAAAAUGUUCCACUACCAUCUGCAGCACCCAACUGUCUCCAUAAAACCACUGGCAGGAUUAAUGAUGCUAACAUUUUAUAAACAUUUAGUUGUUCAAUUAGCCAAACUACUACAUGACAUCGUUGGUUGCUAUCUGGCAAUCAUGUAACUAUCAGUCUCUAAUGUCUGAGUUGUUCAGGAGUGAGAUGCCACUGAAUUGUUCUGAUCUAAACGACUGCAUGUUUUUUGCUGUUCAUGAAGACCCACAGA